ACAAAGAAGAGUUUGAUCCUGGCUCAGGAUGAACGCUAGCGGCAGGCUUAACACAUGCAAGUCGAGGGGCAGCGCGGGGUAGCAAUACUCUGGCGGCGACCGGCGGAAGGGUGCGUAACACGUGAGCGACUUGCCCGAUACAGGGAGAUAACCGGUGGAAACGCCGACUAAUAUCCCAUACGACAUGAGGCUGCAUGGCCUUGGGUUGAAAGGUUCGCCGGUAUCGGAUAGGCUCGCGGGACAUUAGCUGGAUGGCGGGGCAACGGCCCACCAUGGCGACGAUGUCUAGGGGUUCUGAGAGGAAGACCCCCCACACUGGGACUGAGACACGGCCCAGACUCCUACGGGAGGCAGCAGUGAGGAAUAUUGGUCAAUGGGCGGAAGCCUGAACCAGCCAUGCCGCGUGAAGGACUAAGGCCCUAUGGGUCGUAAACUUCUUUAGACGCAGAGCAAUAAGGGCCUCGCGAGGUCCGAUGAGAGUAUGCGUAGAAUAAGCAUCGGCUAACUCCGUGCCAGCAGCCGCGGUAAUACGGGGGAUGCGAGCGUUAUCCGGAUUUAUUGGGUUUAAAGGGUGCGUAGGCGGCGAAUUAAGUCAGCGGUGAAAGACCGGGGCUCAACCCUGGAAGUGCCGUUGAUACUGAUUGGCUAGAAUACCCUUGCCGUGGGAGGAAUGAGUGGUGUAGCGGUGAAAUGCAUAGAUAUCACUCAGAACACCGAUUGCGAAGGCAUCUCACGAAGGGGCGAUUGACGCUGAGGCACGAAAGCGUGGGGAUCGAACAGGAUUAGAUACCCUGGUAGUCCACGCAGUAAACGAU
rnacentral:ncRNA from 1 species